AUUGAACGCUGGCGGCAUGCCUUACACAUGCAAGUCGAACGGUAACAGGUCUUCGGAUGCUGACGAGUGGCGAACGGGUGAGUAAUACAUCGGAACGUGCCCGAUCGUGGGGGAUAAUGAGGCGAAAGCUUUGCUAAUACCGCAUACGAUCUACGGAUGAAAGCGGGGGAUCUUCGGACCUCGCGCGGACGGAGCGGCCGAUGGCAGAUUAGGUAGUUGGUGGGAUAAAAGCUUACCAAGCCGACGAUCUGUAGCUGGUCUGAGAGGAUGAUCAGCCACACUGGGACUGAGACACGGCCCAGACUCCUACGGGAGGCAGCAGUGGGGAAUUUUGGACAAUGGGCGAAAGCCUGAUCCAGCCAUGCCGCGUGCAGGAUGAAGGCCUUCGGGUUGUAAACUGCUUUUGUACGGAACGAAAAGCCUCUUUCUAAUAAAGAGGGGUCAUGACGGUACCGUAAGAAUAAGCACCGGCUAACUACGUGCCAGCCGCCGCGGUAAAAC
rnacentral:rRNA from 1 species